UAAAAUAAUAUUCUGGGAAUGCAAUCCCUAUUUCACACCACAUCUUUCAGGAGUGAUUAGUGUUUCAUUUUGUUUAUAUGUAAAAUUGGAAAUUCUCCCCAGCAAUAUCUGAUUGUGACAUUCCAUUCAAUCAAUAUUUGAUGCUGACAUUCAUCAAUUUCAGGUUAAUGAAUUCAUAGAAUUACCCCAACUUUAUUAUGCUGGCAGUCAUGGAAUGGACAUAAUGGGCUCAGUCACACACUUUGUGUCUAUUAGUAACCAUCUAAAUUCUAUUAGAUCUACUGACAACAUGGGUAAGGAGGUUAAUCUAUUCCAACUUGCUAGCGAAUUUAUACCCAUGAUCAAUGAGGUUUUUUGUUCCCUCAUUGAGGAGACGAAAGGAAUAGAAGGCACAAAGGUUGAGAACAAUAAGUUUUGCGUCUCUGUACAUUAACAACUUAUAGGUGAGAAUAACUGGACUAUUGUUGCACAAUGUGUCCAUGACAUCCUAAAAGACUAUCCACGCCUACAACUAACACACGGACGAGAGGUAAUAUCUAAAGUCGUGAUUGGUGAUCUUUUCAUCCUCCCUUUGGGAACUUUCACCUAUUUUCUUUCUAUGAUGAUCGUAAUUGGGCCUAGUCCCAUCUUUUUCUUGUUGAUUGUAAUUGGGCCUUCACCUGUUCUUGAUUGGUAAUAAAAUCUACUCACCUUCCUUUUUUUGUGGUUCUUUGGAAUUGAUAAUCCAUUUUUAUUUUUGACAAGCAAUGGAAAUUUUUAUUCAAGGAGAAAAUCAAAAUACAAGGUUAAUACAGAUCCAAACACAAGAGUAUGUGUAAAAUUGCAGAGGAAUCCAUUCCUUUAUCUGCUGAGAACAUAGCACUAGCCAUUGGUGCACUGUGUAUGGUACGAAACUCAAUAUUCUGUUGUUCUGUCAUGUUCUACCCUAAAAUA